GGGCAAGUGGCGGAAUGGUAGACGCGCUACGUUCAGGGCGUAGUAAACGCAAGUUUGUGGGAGUUCGAAUCUCCCCUUGCCCACCA
rnacentral:tRNA from 1 species